rnacentral:lncRNA from 1 species
GGUGUGUUUUUUUGCACGCAAUGUAACCAUUCCUCAUUCGUAAGCUCAGUCACAGUAUAGUGAAACAUGGACGCUACAGGGAGAAUGAAAAGAAUCCUUUUCUUGUUGCAUGUUCUCUUUAUGUCAGGUAUGAGUUCUACAACCAUGGUUAACAUCUCUUCAAGUGUGGGCAAGAAUGUCAGUUUACCAUGUGCUGUGAAUUCAGACGAUAACAUCGUUGUCCAGAUUCAAUGGCAGAAACAGGUGGGUCAUGACCAGGAGGAGCAAAUUGUGAUCUACAAUCCAUCUCAUGGAGAAUACAAAUCACCAGGUCACAAGGGAAGACUAAGAGCCAUUAAUGCUUCAAGUGGUCGGCCAGAGAGCUUUCAUUUGGACCUGGAGGACCUGGAGCUGCAGGACAGUGCUAUUUAUAUUUGUGACAUCAAUACUUUCCCAUCUGGAGCCAGCAGACAAUAUGUGAAUUUGCAAGUCAAAGGUGAAGAGGAUGGAAGUACGCCUGCACAUCGACCGACAACAGAGGUGCCUGCCAGUCAUAGCUCAAGGCCGCUUGAGGGGACACCACUGUAUCCAACCAGGUCAAGCAGCUCAACAGCAGCCAGGAACAGUGACGCUUUGUCAGCCACCCCAAACACUGAAAGACCCUCUACCCCCUCAGACUCUUCCUCCAGCAGCAAAGAGUCAAAGACUAGUUCUGUGUCUCUGUCCUUCGCCAGUAGCACAAAGGAACCCCAAACUACCACAAGGUCCUUGCUACUGCAGGACAGCAAUGUCACAGUCACACAACGUGACCCCAUGGCAUGGACAAAGUAUGAACAAAGUACAGCGUCUGACGAGCAGAAUGCCAGUGUUGAGUCUCUACCAAAUGCAACAACAGAGUUCCAAACUGCAAUGGGGACGCUAGAGUCAAGGGUGAACAACAUCACAGACUCACAACAUGAGCCAGGCUUGGGCACACAGAAGAAUGCACAUGAGACUGUGGCCAUUGUUACAUCAUCAGACAGCCAGAACCAUGGCAACACCUUCACUGGAGCAGUAUGGCCGCAAACCACUAAGCCUGGCCUGUCACCCAAAGUAACAACAGCCAGCGGAGAAAGAUACUAUCCAGUCUUCAUCAUCCUGCCCUUUCUGAGCGUGCUCAUCAUCAUAGGGCUUCUCUACCGCAGAUACCUCAUUCAGAAGAGAAUGGACCUUCCUCCACCUUUCAAACCCCCACCACCACCGGUAAAAUACACCUCCGUCAGAACUCAGGAGAUUCUUAUGACAGACAUCCUGGUGUGAUGGACCACCACACCAAACAAACCAAAAGGGAGAAUCUGGAGAGUCUCGACCUGCACAUAGUGUACAUCCUCAUCGUGCACAUUGUGUACAUCCUCAUCGUGCACAUCGUGUACAUCCUCAUCGUGCACAUAGUGUACAUCCUCAUCGUGUACAUAGUGUACAUCCUCAUCGUGUACAUAGUGUACAUCCUCAUCGUGUACAUAGUGUACAUCCUCAUCGGGUACAUAGUGUACAUUCUCAUCGUGUUUUAGCUCGACCUGCACGUAGUGUACAUUCUCAUCGUGCUUUAUGCAAAUAAAAAUGUAGCUCAGUUGAUAGCGUAAGGUUCU